rnacentral:rRNA from 1 species
UACGAAGGGUGCAAACGUUGCUCGGAAUCAUUGGGCGUAAAGCGCACGUAGGCGGCUUCGCAAGUCGGAUGUGAAAUCCCUCGGCUCAACCGAGGACGUGCAUACGAAACUGCGGAGCUUGAGUGCUGAAGAGGAUCGCGGAAUUCCCGGUGUAGAGGUGAAAUUCGUAGAUAUCGGGAGGAACACCAGUGGCGAAGGCGGCGACCUGGGCCAAUAUUGACGCUGAGGUGCGAAAGCGUGGGGAGCAAACAGG